rnacentral:rRNA from 1 species
GUGCCAGCAGCCGCGGUAAUACGUAGGGUGCGAGCGUUGUCCGGAAUUACUGGGCGUAAAGAGCUCGUAGGUGGUUUGUCGCGUCGUUUGUGUAAACCCGCAGCUUAACUGCGGGACUGCAGGCGAUACGGGCAUAACUUGAGUGCUGUAGGGGAGACUGGAAUUCCUGGUGUAGCGGUGGAAUGCGCAGAUAUCAGGAGGAACACCGAUGGCGAAGGCAGGUCUCUGGGCAGUAACUGACGCUGAGGAGCGAAAGCAUGGGUAGCGAACAGGAUUAGAUACCCUGGUAGUCCAUGCCGUAAACGGUGGGCGCUAGGUGUGAGUCCCUUCCACGGGGUUCGUGCCGUAGCUAACGCAUUAAGCGCCCCGCCUGGGGAGUACGGCCGCAAGGCUAAAACUCAAAGGAAUUGACGGGGGCCCGCACAAGCGGCGGAGCAUGUGGAUUAAUUCGAUGCAACGCGAAGAACCUUACCUGGGCUUGACAUACACCGGAUUGGGCUAGAGAUAGUCUUUCCCUUUGUGGCUGGUGUACAGGUGGUGCAUGGUUGUCGUCAGCUCGUGUCGUGAGAUGUUGGGUUAAGUCCCGCAACGAGCGCAACCCUUGUCUUAUGUUGCCAGCAUUUAGUUGGGGACUCAUGAGAGACUGCCGGGGUCAACUCGGAGGAAGGUGGGGAUGACGUCAAAUCAUCAUGCCCCUUAUGUCCAGGGCUUCACACAUGCUACAAUGGUCGGUACAACGCGCAGCGACACUGUGAGGUGGAGCGAAUCGCUGAAAGCCGGCCUUAGUUCGGAUUGGGGUCUGCAACUCGACCCCAUGAAGUCGGAGUCGCUAGUAAUCGCAGAUCAGCAAUGCUGCGGUGAAUACGUUCCCGGGCCUUGUACACACCGCCCGUCACGUCAUGAAAGUUGGUAACACCCGAAGCCAGUGGCCCAAACUUGUUAGGGAGCUGUCGAAGGUGGGAUUGGCGAUUGGGACGAAGUCGUAACAAGGUA